CACACGAUAGGAAUGAAAAUGUCUACUUUGUCAUAUAUGUCCUGAUGAGUACCUUCUAUUUUUACUUCGCAUUGCUGCUUGUUCCCAUUGUCUCUCUACUAGGCGAUUUUAUCUUCCAAGGGAUUGAGAGAUGGUUCUUCCCAUAUGAU